rnacentral:rRNA from 1 species
AAGCGUUUGGCAUCAGCCCAUGGCGUUGGUCGAUCAACCGGGCUUCUGUCCGGUGCACUUGGCCAGCGCUGGGCCAGCGUCGACUCUGCCCCCUGGAGAAAGGCCUCGGGGAUGUGGCUCUCUUCGGGGAGCGUUAUAACCCUUGGCGUCAUACGGGGGGUGGGGUCGAGGUCCGCGGUCUAACCUAGGACGCUGGCGUAAUGGUUCCAAGCG